UACGUAGGGUGCAAGCGUUUAAUCGGAAUUACUGGGCGUAAAGCGUGCGCAGGCGGUUUUGUAAGUUUGUCGUGAAAUCCCCGGGCUCAACCUGGGAAUGGCGAUGAAGACUGCAAGGCUAGAAUCUGGCAGAGGGGGGGUAGAAUUCCACGUGUAGCAGUGAAAUGCGUAGAGAUGUGGAGGAACACCGAUGGCGAAGGCAGCCCCCCUGGGUCAAGAUUGACGCUCAUGCACGAA
rnacentral:rRNA from 1 species